CAACGCGUAAGAACCUUACCAGGUCUUGACAUCCCGAUGCUAUUCUAGAGAUAGAAGUUACUUCGGUACAUCGGUGACAGGUGGUGCAUGGUUGUCGUCAGCUCGUGUCGUGAGAUGUUGGGUUAAGUCCCGCAACGAGCGCAACCCCUAUUGUUAGUUGCCAUCAUUCAGUUGGGCACUCUAGCGAGACUGCCGGUAAUAAACCGGAGGAAGUGGGAUGAACGUCAAAUCAUCAUGCCCCUUAUGACCUGGGCUACACACGUGCUACAAUGGUUGGUACAACGAGUUGCGAGUCGGUGACGGCGAGCUAAUCUCUUAAAGCCAAUCUCAGUUCGGAUUGUAGGCUGCAACUCGCCUACAUGAAGUCGGAAUCGCUAGUAAUCGCGGAUCAGCACGCCGCGGUGAAUACGUUCCCGGGCCUU
rnacentral:rRNA from 1 species